AUUGAACGCUGGCGGCAGGCCUAACACAUGCAAGUCGAGCGGAGCGGCGGACGGGUGAGUAAUGCCUAGGAAUCUGCCUGGUAGUGGGGGAUAACGUCCGGAAACGGGCGCUAAUACCGCAUACUAUAAGAUGAGGCUAGGUCGUAUUGGCUUGUUGGUGGGUUAAAGGCCUACCAGGGCGACGAUCCGUAACUGGUAUGAGAGGAUGAUCAGUCAAACUGGAACUGAGACACGGUCAAGACUCCUACGGGAGGCAGCAGGGGGGAAUAUUGGACAAUGGGCGAAAGCCUGAUCCAGCCAUGCCGCGUGUGUGAAGAAGGCCUUCGGGUUGUAAAGCACUUUCAGCGGGGAGGCGUUACCCGCAGAAGAAGCACCGGCUAACUCCGUGCCAGCAGCCGCGGUAAUAC
rnacentral:rRNA from 1 species